rnacentral:rRNA from 1 species
CAGGAUUUGACAUGAUGUUGCAAGUCCCGUGAAAGCGGGAUGAUCUUUCGAAGGUGCAUCACAGGUGUUGCAUGGCUGUCGUCAGCUCGAGUCGUGAGAUGUAGGGUUAAGUCCCUUAUCGAGCGCAACCCUCGUCGUAUGUUAGAAAUGUCAUACGAGACUGCCUCGGUUAACGGGGAGGAAGGUGGGGAUGAAGUCAAGUCGGUAUUGCCCUUAUAUCCUGGGCGACACACGUGCUACAAUGGCCGGUACAAUGGGUUGCAAAACUGCAAAGUGGAGCCAAUCCCCAAAGCCGGUCUCAGUUCGGAUUGGAGGCUGAAACUCGCCUCUAUGAAGUUGGAAUCGCUAGUAAUCGCAGGUCAGCUAUACUGCGGUGAAUACGUUCUCGGGUCUUGUACACACCGCCCGUCAGCUGGGAAAAGUCGGGGGCACCCGAAGUAUCUCAAAAAAUGAGGUCCUAAGGUGAAAUCGAUGAUUAACAGUAAGGCGUAACAAGGUA